UUUGCUUUUCGGCGUUUUGGGUGAGAUCGAGUGUAGUAUAGGUGUUUGUCAGGUUUAUGUUUGAUACGUUGACGGUGAGAGGACUUUUGUGUUAAACGGGGUUUUGGGCUCGGGAGUUGGGUCCAGAGCCUGAUUCCGUCGGUUCCGAGCAUCGUCCCGGUAUUGCAGCACUUACUGGAACGGUGCGUCUUUU